rnacentral:rRNA from 1 species
AUACGGAGGGUGCAAACGUUGUUCGGAAUUACUGGGCGUAAAGCGCGCGUAGGCGGCUUGUUAAGUCAGAUGGGAAAGCCCAAGGCUCAACCUUGGACGUGCAUUUGAAACUGGCAGACUUGAGUACUGGAGGGGAUGGUGGAAUUCCCGGUGUAGAGGUGAAAUUCGUAGAUAUCGGGAGGAAUACCGGUGGCGAAGGCGACCAUCUGGCCAGAUACUGACGCUGAGGUGCGAAAGCAUGGGGAGCAAACAGGAUUAGAAACCCGUGUAGUCC